AAGAGAAGCGGAGCUGGAGCCGGCUGAUCCCAUUUGCUGCGGCGCCUACAGGGAUGUGAAGCUCCUCUCUGCUCCAAGGCCUCUGUUCUGGUGGCCACGAGCAUAGCGUUGAUCUUGGCAAAAUCAUAGGCACUUGGACAACUUGUUAAGAAACAGUAAAGUUGAAGAAAAACUGCUAAGCAUGGUGGGGCUUUUAAAAAGCCGAAGCUAGAGAUUGAAAGAUGUCUCUGCAGACAAAGGCAAUAGAGAACAAACACGACAUCUAAGUUCGAUCCCUGGAGCACAAAGGAAAGUUGUUCUCUGAUCGCCACACGCGCACCCAUAAAUAAAGAAAGAGAGGCGCUAAAUAAAGAAGUUAAGAGCUGUCAUUGUGGAGAUUAAAAAAAUCAAAAGUUAUGAA